rnacentral:rRNA from 1 species
CCUACGGGAGGCAGCAGUAAGGAAUAUUGGUCAAUGGAGGCAACUCUGAACCAGCCAUGCCGCGUGCAGGAUGACGGCCCUAUGGGUUGUAAACUGCUUUUAUACAAGAGAAAACCCUGGUACGUGUACCAGGUUGAUAGUAUUGUAAGAAUAAGCAUCGGCUAACUUCGUGCCAGCAGCCGCGGUAAGACGAAGGAUGCAAGCGUUAUCCGGAUUCAUUGGGUUUAAAGGGUGCGUAGGCGGACUGAUAAGUCAGUGGUGAAAUCUCUUUGCUUAACAAAGAAACUGCCAUUGAUACUGUCGGUCUAGAGUAUAGAUGACGUUGGCGGAAUAUGACAUGUAGUGGUGAAAUACUUAGAUAUGUCAUAGAACACCGAUUGCGAAGGCAGCUAACGAAACUAUAACUGACGCUGAGGCACGAAAGUGCGGGGAUCAAACAGGAUUAGAUACCCUGGUAGUCGCACCGUAAACGAUGAUUACUCGUUGUUGGCGAUAUGACAGUCAGCGACCAAGCGAAAGCGAUAAGUAAUCCACCUGGGGAGUACGCCGGCAACGGUGAAACUCAAAUGAAUUGACGGNGNGAGAGNGCGAGGNGACACGAGGGGAGAGG